rnacentral:tRNA from 1 species
UCGGGGAUCGUCUAAUCGGCAGGACCCUGGGCUCUGGUCCCAGUUGUCAAGGUUCGAGUCCUUGUCCCCGAGCCC